UACGAAGGGGGCUAGCGUUGCUCGGAAUCACUGGGCGUAAAGGGUGCGUAGGCGGGUCUUUAAGUCAGAGGUGAAAUCCUGGAGCUCAACUCCAGAACUGCCUUUGAUACUGAGGAUCUUGAGUCCGGGAGAGGUGAGUGGAACUGCGAGUGUAGAGGUGAAAUUCGUAGAUAUUCGCAAGAACACCAGUGGCGGAAGGCGGCUCACUGGCCCGGUACUGACGCUGAGGUGCGAAAGCGGUGGGGAGCAAACAGG
rnacentral:rRNA from 1 species